rnacentral:rRNA from 1 species
GACAGAGGGUGCAAACGUUUGUUCGGAAUUACUGGGCGUAAAGCGCGCGUAGGCGGCUUUGCAAGUCGGGUGUGAAAUCCCUCGGCUCAACCGAGGAACUGCAUUCGAUACUGGUCGGCUAGAGUCCGGGAGGGGAUGGUGGAAUUCCCAGUGUAGCGGUGAAAUGCGUAGAUAUUGGGAAGAACACCGGUGGCGAAGGCGGCCAUCUGGACCGGUACUGACGCUGAGGCGCGAAAGCCAGGGGAGCGAACAGG